AUUGAACGCUGGCGGAAUGCUUUACACAUGCAAGUCGAGCGGCAGCACGGGGGCAACCCUGGUGGCGAGCGGCGAACGGGUGAGUAAUACGUCGGAACAUGCCCAGUCGUGGGGGAUAACACUUCGAAAGAAGUGCUAAUACCGCAUACGUCCUGAGGGAGAAAGCGGGGGAUCUUCGGACCUCGCGCGAUUGGAGUGGCCGAUGUCAGAUUAGCUAGUUGGUGGGGUAAAGCCUACCAAGGCAACGAUCUGUAGCUGGUCUGAGAGGAUGAUCAGCCACACUGGGACUGAGACACGGCCCAGACUCCUACGGGAGGCAGCAGUGGGGAAUUUUGGACAAUGGGGGCAACCCUGAUCCAGCCAUUCCGCGUGAGUGAAGAAGGCCUUCGGGUUGUAAAGCUCUUUCGGCAGGAACGAAACGGCGAGCUCUAACAUAGCUUGCUAAUGACGGUACCUGAAGAAGAAGCACCGGCUAACUACGUGCCAGCCGCCGCGGUAACAC
rnacentral:rRNA from 1 species